GCCAGGGUAGCUCAGUGGCAGAGCAAGGUUUUCAUAAGACCGAGGUCGUGAGUUCGAUCCUCACCCCUGGCA
rnacentral:tRNA from 7 species